rnacentral:piRNA from 1 species
UACCACGAAGCUGCUACUGUCCUCCU